rnacentral:tRNA from 1 species
CAAGAAAUAAUUUAAAAAAAAAUAGUAAAUUUGGAUUUUACAAAUAGAGUUUUCUUUUCUUGA